AAAAUAAAAGGCAAUAUGAAAGGAGCAAGGAAAGGAAGAGGAGGAAAAAAAUGGCAAGAAAUGAAGUUUGUUAGGUUAACAGAAAGUCAAGUUUUUUUUUUCUUUGUUUUUGUAAGUAGAUUUUCA
rnacentral:ribozyme from 1 species